GAUAACAGCUAUUGGCUUCGAUCUAUUGGGCAUUUGCUAGUCUAUGAUUUCUACUUUCUCUCUUCAUAUGUCACAAUUUGCUAUUGACUUGAUCCAAUAUGAAGGUAUCUAUCAGCUUGGGCAUAUUAAAAAUCUAAUUUUGUGACACAAGGCAACACUCCAAUAUUAAAUUCAUUCAGGCAGGAAAGCAGUGAUAAACUCAUCCAACGACAAAAACUCAUGUGCUCUACUCCAGAAAAACAACAGGGGUUCACCACUCAGCAAGCUGGUCAAUUGGAGUCACCACAUAUUCCAAGAGGUCACCUGCAAAUGUGCAUUUACUUGCAGAUCAAUCAGCCUGGAUUAUCGAAAAUAACUCUUCAUUAACUUCUACGAUAUUGGGAAUUAUGAUAGUCAACAAAUCCUUGAAUGACGAUGAUGAUGAUAGUCAACAAGCCUAUCUUCAACGACUUGUACAUCCACAACUUAUCAAAAGGAGACGACAUUGCAACUAUGAUCAUCCCAGUGAGAGUAGGCGUCAACAUUCAUUUUCAUACUAUCUGCUACUUCGAGGUGGUUCUGAAGUCAAAGUAUGUAUGAGAACAUUCUGUAACACAUUCGGUAUUUCUCCAAGGUGAGCACAAAUCUUGGGUCAGAAGAUUUUAGAAGGGAAAAACGAUUGCUCGGAUAAGAGGGGAGGGCAUCGUUCAAAUGAAAAGAAGGUAGAAUGGACUCAAAAAGUUAUUUAGCACAUAAAGAGCUUUCCAGUAAAGGAGAGCCUUUAUGACAGAGCAAAAAGUAAGGACAAAAUGUAUUUAAGUCCUGAUUUGAAUGUGAGCCUCAUGUAUCAUGCAUUCUUGGAGAAGUAUGCCACAGAACUUCUUCUUGGAAGUCAUCCAAUUACUAGGCAGUGGUAUAAUGAGAUUUUUUUGAGUAAAUUUAAUUUGUCUUGUACAGACCAAGGGUUAAUACCUGCUCUACUUGUGAUAGAUUAAAAGUUAGUAUACAAUCUGGUAAUCCAGCAGCCAAAGUAGAACAAGAGUUGCACCACCGCCGUGUUGAAGGUAGUACAACUGCAAUGAACGAUGACAUUGAAAAUGCAAAGACUUCUGAUUCUCAUGUUCUAUCUUUUGACUUGCAACAGCAAAUGUACUUACCUCUGCUAUCUCAUACAGAGAUGUAUUACUCACAGCAACUAGCAUGUUGUAACUUGGCAAUACACGAUUCAACAGCCAAUUAAGGUUGUAUGUUCUUAUGGUCAGAAAACCAUGGUGGUCGGGGGUCUUUGGAAAUCACAUCCUUUAUUUACCAGUAUCUAACAUCUCAAUGUAAUAUUGGUAACAAAAGAAAGCUAAUACUUUGGUCUGACAAUUGUAGUGGCCAAAAUAAAAACUAGUAUAUGAUUAGUAUGUACCUGACUUUAAUAGCUACUGGUAAGUUUAAUGAAAUCAUCCACAAGUUCCCUGUAAGGGUCCACACUUUCUUAAGUAAUGAUAGGGACUUCGCAUUAAUUGAAAAACGAAGAAGAAACACAUUGAUGGACUUGGUUCGAAUUAUUAUUUAAGUGCAGCACAGAAAAACCCAUUCACCUGCAAAGUAGUGGAACAAUUUCACAACUUCAAGGAGAUAUCACAUGCAUUCCUGGAUACAAAGAAGUUGGGAAUUUCAAGAGCUUGGCUUAACAGCUGCUGAAUUUGGAAGUGUCAUGAUAUCUAAAGGUGCAUCAGAAGCAGCAGGCUGGUGUGAUCCAAUUAGAGUAAUCAAGAAUGGAGUGAGUAUUGAACAUUCUCAGCGGCUACAGCUUUCUUCAACAAGGACAAGAUGGGGACUUCCAGUGAAGGAAAAACAAGAUAUUAUCAAGAUGCUCCCUUACCUGGAGCCAGAAGCACGCGAAUACUUAGAAAAUAUACUUGCAGAAGCGCCACCAGGAGAACACCAAACUGAACAGGAAUAAUAGAACAACAGUUGCAUGGUGGCACAUUCAAUAUUAUGACUGGCACUUCAUGAAAGACAGUCUCAUUUUUCAUUUCAUGGGGUAUUAACCUUUAUAUAAUUUUUUUUAAUGAAUUGACAAUUUUACAAGCGUUGAAGAGUAAUAUUAUGUGUUAGAAGUACAAAAAAUAUUUGG
rnacentral:lncRNA from 1 species